GAUGAACGCUGGCGGCGUGCCUAAUACAUGCAAGUCGAGCGAACGGACGAGAAGCUUGCUUCUCUGAUGUUAGCGGCGGACGGGUGAGUAACACGUGGAUAACCUACCUAUAAGACUGGGAUAACUUCGGGAAACCGGAGCUAAUACCGGAUAAUAUUUUGAACCGCAUGGUUCAAAAGUGAAAGACGGUCUUGCUGUCACUUAUAGAUGGAUCCGCGCUGCAUUAGCUAGUUGGUAAGGUAACGGCUUACCAAGGCAACGAUGCAUAGCCGACCUGAGAGGGUGAUCGGCCACACUGGAACUGAGACACGGUCCAGACUCCUACGGGAGGCAGCAGUAGGGAAUCUUCCGCAAUGGGCGAAAGCCUGACGGAGCAACGCCGCGUGAGUGAUGAAGGUCUUCGGAUCGUAAAACUCUGUUAUUAGGGAAGAACAUAUGUGUAAGUAACUGUGCACAUCUUGACGGUACCUAAUCAGAAAGCCACGGCUAACUACGUGCCAGCAGCCGCGGUAAUACGUAGGUGGCAAGCGUUAUCCGGAAUUAUUGGGCGUAAAGCGCGCGUAGGCGGUUUUUUAAGUCUGAUGUGAAAGCCCACGGCUCAACCGUGGAGGGUCAUUGGAAACUGGAAAACUUGAGUGCAGAAGAGGAAAGUGGAAUUCCAUGUGUAGCGGUGAAAUGCGCAGAGAUAUGGAGGAACACCAGUGGCGAAGGCGACUUUCUGGUCUGUAACUGACGCUGAUGUGCGAAAGCGUGGGGAUCAAACAGGAUUAGAUACCCUGGUAGUCCACGCCGUAAACGAUGAGUGCUAAGUGUUAGGGGGUUUCCGCCCCUUAGUGCUGCAGCUAACGCAUUAAGCACUCCGCCUGGGGAGUACGACCGCAAGGUUGAAACUCAAAGGAAUUGACGGGGACCCGCACAAGCGGUGGAGCAUGUGGUUUAAUUCGAAGCAACGCGAAGAACCUUACCAAAUCUUGACAUCCUUUGACAACUCUAGAGAUAGAGCUUUCCCCUUCGGGGGACAAAGUGACAGGUGGUGCAUGGUUGUCGUCAGCUCGUGUCGUGAGAUGUUGGGUUAAGUCCCGCAACGAGCGCAACCCUUAAACUUAGUUGCCAUCAUUAAGUUGGGCACUCUAAGUUGACUGCCGGUGACAAACCGGAGGAAGGUGGGGAUGACGUCAAAUCAUCAUGCCCCUUAUGAUUUGGGCUACACACGUGCUACAAUGGACAAUACAAAGGGCAGCGAAACCGCGAGGUCAAGCAAAUCCCAUAAAGUUGUUCUCAGUUCGGAUUGUAGUCUGCAACUCGACUACAUGAAGCUGGAAUCGCUAGUAAUCGUAGAUCAGCAUGCUACGGUGAAUACGUUCCCGGGUCU
rnacentral:rRNA from 1 species